AGAUGAAGAACGCAGCGAAAUGCGAUAAGUAAUGUGAAUUGCAGAAUUCAGUGAAUCAUCGAAUCUUUGAACGCACAUUGCGCCCGCCAGUAUUCUGGCGGGCAUGCCUGUUCGAGCGUCAUUACAACCCUCAGGCCCCCGGGCCUGGCGUUGGGGAUCGGCGGAAGCCCCUGUGGGCACACGCCGUCCCUCAAAUACAGUGGCGGUCCCGCCGCAGCUUCCAUUGCGUAGUAGCUAACACCUCGCAACUGGAGAGCGGCGCGGCCAUGCCGUAAAACACCCAACUUCUGAAUGUUGACCUCGAAUCAGGUAGGAAUACCCGCUGAACUUAAGCAUAUCAAUAAGCGGAGGA
rnacentral:misc_RNA from 1 species